GCGUAUAUAGCUCAGUUGGUAGAGCACUGCCCUUCCAAGUCAGGUGUCGAGGGUUCGAACCCCUUUAUACGCUCCA
rnacentral:tRNA from 1 species